UACGAAGGGGGCUAGCGUUGUUCGGAAUUACUGGGCGUAAAGCGCACGUAGGCGGAUCGAUCAGUCAGGGGUGAAAUCCCAGAGCUCAACUCUGGAACUGCCUUUGAUACUGUCGAUCUGGAGUAUGGAAGAGGUGAGUGGAAUUCCGAGUGUAGAGGUGAAAUUCGUAGAUAUUCGGAAGAACACCAGUGGCGAAGGCGGCUCACUGGACCGGCAUUGACGCUGAGGUGCGAAAGCGUGGGGAGCAAACAGG
rnacentral:rRNA from 1 species